rnacentral:rRNA from 1 species
AGAACGAACGCUGGCGGCAUGCCUAACACAUGCAAGUCGAACGCUUCCGGGGCUUCGGUCGCGGAGGAGUGGCGCACGGGUGAGUAGCGCGUGGGAACCUGCCCUGUUGUGGGGGAUAACCGAGGGAAACUUCGGCUAAUACCGCAUACGCCCCGGGACUUGGUCUUCGGAUUAGGUCUGGGGGGAAAGAUUGAUCGCAGCAGGAGGGGCCCGCGUCGGAUUAGCUGGUUGGUGGGGUAACGGCUCACCAAGGCGAUGAUCCGUAGCUGGUCUGAGAGGAUGAUCAGCCACACUGGGACUGAGACACGGCCCAGACUCCUACGGGAGGCAGCAGUGGGGAAUAUUGGACAAUGGGGGCAACCCUGAUCCAGCAAUGCCGCGUGAGUGAUGAAGGCCUUAGGGUGUAAAGCUCUUUCGCCCGCGACGAUGAUGACGGUAGCGGGAGAAGAGCCCGGCUAACUUCGCGCCAGCAGCCGCGGU